rnacentral:rRNA from 1 species
UAAUACGGAGGGUGCAAGCGUUAUCCGGAUUUAUUGGGUUUAAAGGGUCCGUAGGCGGAUCAUUAAGUCAGUGGUGAAAUCCGACAGCUCAACUGUCGAACUGCCAUUGAUACUGGUGAUCUUGAGUACGGUUGAAGUAGGCGGAAUAUGACAUGUAGCGGUGAAAUGCUUAGAUAUGUCAUAGAACACCGAUUGCGAAGGCAGCCUACUAAGCCGUUACUGACGCUGAGGGACGAAAGUGUGGGGAGCGAACAGGAUUAGAUACCCUGGUAGUCCACACCGUAAACGAUGAUUACUCGGUAUUGGCUUUAUUAUCAGUGCCCAAGCGAAAGUGAUAAGUAAUCCACCUGGGGAGUACGGCCGCAAGGUUG